rnacentral:rRNA from 1 species
AGGGUUUGAUCCUGGCUCAGGAUGAACGCUGGCGGCGUGCCUAAUACAUGCAAGUCGAGCGAACGGACGAGAAGCUUGCUUCUCUGAUGUUAGCGGCGGACGGGUGAGUAACACGUGGAUAACCUACCUAUAAGACUGGGAUAACUUCGGGAAACCGGAGCUAAUACCGGAUAAUAUUUUGAACCGCAUGGUUCAAAAGUGAAAGACGGUCUUGCUGUCACUUAUAGAUGGAUCCGCGCUGCAUUAGCUAGUUGGUAAGGUAACGGCUUACCAAGGCAACGAUGCAUAGCCGACCUGAGAGGGUGAUCGGCCACACUGGAACUGAGACACGGUCCAGACUCCUACGGGAGGCAGCAGUAGGGAAUCUUCCGCAAUGGGCGAAAGCCUGACGGAGCAACGCCGCGUGAGUGAUGAAGGUCUUCGGAUCGUAAAACUCUGUUAUUAGGGAAGAACAUAUGUGUAAGUAACUGUGCACAUCUUGACGGUACCUAAUCAGAAAGCCACGGCUAACUACGUGCCAGCAGCCGCGGUAAUACGUAGGUGGCAAGCGUUAUCCGGAAUUAUUGGGCGUAAAGCGCGCGUAGGCGGUUUUUUAAGUCUGAUGUGAAAGCCCACGGCUCAACCGUGGAGGGUCAUUGGAAACUGGAAAACUUGAGUGCAGAAGAGGAAAGUGGAAUUCCAUGUGUAGCGGUGAAAUGCGCAGAGAUAUGGAGGAACACCAGUGGCGAAGGCGACUUUCUGGUCUGUAACUGACGCUGAUGUGCGAAAGCGUGGGGAUCAAACAGGAUUAGAUACCCUGGUAGUCCACGCCGUAAACGAUGAGUGCUAAGUGUUAGGGGGUUUCCGCCCCUUAGUGCUGCAGCUAACGCAUUAAGCACUCCGCCUGGGGAGUACGACCGCAAGGUUGAAACUCAAAGGAAUUGACGGC